rnacentral:rRNA from 1 species
UACGUAGGGUGCAAGCGUUAAUCGGAAUUACUGGGCGUAAAGCGUGCGCAGGCGGUUCUGUAAGUCAGAUGUGAAAUGCCCGGGCUUAACCUGGGAACUGCAAUUGUGACUGCAUGGCUAGAGUGUGUCAGAGGGGGGUAGAAUUCCACGUGUAGCAGUGAAAUGCGUAGAUAUGUGGAGGAAUACCGAUGGCGAAGGCAGCCCCCUGGGAUAACACUGACGCUCAUGCACGAAAGCGUGGGGAGCAAACAGG